CCUACGGGUGGCAGCAGUAGGGAAUAUUGCUCAAUGGGGGAAACCCUGAAGCAGCAACGCCGCGUGGAGGAUGAAGGUUUUCUGAUUGUUAACUCCUUUUUUUAGAGAAGAAAAUGACGGUAUCUAACGAAUAAGCACCGGCUAACACCGUGCCAGCAGCCGCGGUAAUACGGAGGCUGCAAGCGUUACUCGGAAUCACUGGGCGUAAAGAGCGCGUAGGCGGGAUAGCAAGUCAGAUGUGAAAUCCUAUGGCUUAACCGUAGAACUGCAUUUGAUACUGUUAUUCUAGAGUAUAGGAGAGGUAGGUGGAAUUCGUGGUGUAGGGGUGAAAUGCGUAGAGAUCACGAGGAAUACCCAUUGCGAAGGCGGCCUACUAGACUAUAACUGACGCUGAUGCGCGAAAGCGUGGGGAGCAAACAGGAUUAGAUACCCCGGUAGUC
rnacentral:rRNA from 1 species